CACGUAAUUAGCCGGUCCUUAUUCGUAUGGUACUGUCAUUUUCUUCCCAUACAAAAGAUUUUUACAACCCGAAGGCCUUCUAAAUCACGCGGCGUCGCUGCAUCAGGGUUUCCCCCAUUGUGCAAAAUUCCCCACUGCUGCCUCCCGUAGGAGUCUGGGCCGUGUCUCAGUCCCAAUGUGGCCGUACACUCUCUCAAGCCGGCUACUGAUCGUUGCCUUGGUGGGCCGUUACCUCACCAACUAGCUAAUCAGACGCGAGUCCAUCUUACACCGAUAAAUCUUUGAUAAGCUCUUCAUGCGAAGAGUUUAUGUCAUAGGGUAUUAUUCGUCGUUUCCAACGGCUAUCCCCUUGUGUAAGGCAGGUUACUCACGCGUUACUCACCCGUCCGCCACUAAUCCAAUAUUUUUCAUCCCGAAGGAAUCUAAAUAUCUUCAUCGUUCGACUUGCAUGUGUUAUGCACGCCGCCAGCGUUAAUCCUGAGCCAGGAUCAAACUCU
rnacentral:rRNA from 1 species